rnacentral:rRNA from 1 species
AGUGAACGCUGGCGGCGUGCCUAAUACAUGCAAGUCGAACGGAGUGGCGCACGGGUGAGUAAUGUAUAGCUAAUCUGCCCUACACUAGAGGACAACAGUUGGAAACGACUGCUAAUACUCUAAAGUGUAGGAUGUGGCUAUAUUGUAUCAGCUAGUUGGUGAGGAAAUGGCUCACCAAGGCUAUGACGCAUAACUGGUCUGAGAGGAUGAUCAGUCGAACUGGAACUGAGACACGGUCCAGGCUCCUACGGGAGGCAGCGGAAGGGUAUAAUACUCAAUGGGGGAAACCCUGAAACAGCAACGGCGCGUGAAGGAUGAUACUUUUCGGAGCGUAAGCUCCUUUUGAUAGGGAAGCGGUACCUACCGAAUAAGCACCGGCUAACUCCGUGCCAGCAGCCGCGGUAAUAC